rnacentral:rRNA from 1 species
AUUCGAUUGCGGCCUAUCAGCUUGUUGGUGAGGUAAUGGCUCACCAAGGCGACGACGGGUAGCCGGCCUGAGAGGGUGACCGGCCACACUGGGACUGAGACACGGCCCAGACUCCUACGGGAGGCAGCAGUGGGGAAUAUUGCACAAUGGGCGCAAGCCUGAUGCAGCGACGCCGCGUGAGGGAUGACGGCCUUCGGGUUGUAAACCUCUUUCAGUAGGGAAGAAGCGAAAGUGACGGUACCUGCAGAAGAAGCACCGGCUAACUACGUGCCAGCAGCCGCGGUAAUACGUAGGGUGCGAGCGUUAUCCGGAAUUAUUGGGCGUAAAGAGCUCGUAGGCGGUUUGUCGCGUCUGUCGUGAAAGUCCGGGGCUUAACCCCGGAUCUGCGGUGGGUACGGGCAGACUAGAGUGCAGUAGGGGAGACUGGAAUUCCU